rnacentral:lncRNA from 1 species
CCUCAAGUCCAGUCAUUGACUACUCUCCCGCUGACGGCGAUGCCAACUUCCAAAGCUGCUUUUUCAGCCCAAAUUGCAGGUCUCAAAAGUCCCCCAGUAACCUGGCUGGAAGGGAGUCCUCUCUGCUGAGAACCACGCCUCUCGCACCAACGCUGCCACGUCAGGCACCACAUCGUUCCUCGCUCUAGGAUUAACACUAGAUAGCAUGAAAAGCAGUCUCAGUCAAAGUGGACAAGGCCCUAGAACUUCCCAAGGAAAACGGAAGUCACCACACCAGGUCGCGGCGACCUUUGCCGACGGCUGCCCAGCACUCACUGGAAGUCAGGAACACAAAAAUGUCACUUUUCCUCUUUGAGCCGCCUUGACGGUCACUACAAGCUUACCUUGAGAUGCUCUAAGUCUGUAUACCUUGUGAUAAUUAGUACCACACUGUAGAAUUAGGAAAUCAAUAACCAAGUGUUUUUAUUGCAUAUACUGUAGUCCUGUCUAAAUGCCUUCUAGCAGGAAUAUAGUAACGUAGUGCUUAUUCUGUGAAUAUUACCAUGUAUUUUUUACAUUGUACAGUAUAGAGAACACAGGUUCACUCAGAAGUGGCAGGCAUGCUCCACUACAACAGACAGACAACUUUUGCUGUAAGCAAUACCUAGUGGUAUGAGAAUUCUAUUUCAAGUCCUAAAAUAUUUCAACUUACAGCUUGUUUGGAAAAAGAAAUUUCCAUUUUUUGUAAAAAUAUAUGUUUCCUGAUUACCUCUUGCUAAUAAAUCUAUUCUAUCUCAG